rnacentral:lncRNA from 1 species
GAUGCCACAAGGCAAAGCUUAUAGAUCUAUUUGGGUCCUACGGUUUUGACGCAGCCGUGCUGUCAGUAGAGGGAAAUAUAAUGUGAGCUUGAUGCUUAUGUAAUUCCCAACCCCAUAUUUUUGGUUCUUAUGAGAAGCAAUGAAGGGGCUCUACACCACCACCAUCUUCUUCUUCUUCUUCUUCUUCUUCUUCUUCUUCUUGUAUUGUGGUCUGGAAAGGAAACAGCUUGUUGAAUCAAAAAGUGGGAAUCAUGUGAGUCAGAUGAUGCCCCAUCCUUUUCCAGUGAUUCCUGCUAGACAUUUACACACACAUGAAAACAACUUCUACCUAAAAUUGGAGCAAAGCAAAUCUUCUUCCAUUUGCAGGACCUGCACAGUGCUCGCAUUUAGCUUUUCACUGGACUGAAUCAGAAUCAAGGUAUAACUAGUUGCUGCGUAUUGAUGAAUCAUCUCUAUGAUGAAACCUCACUUCAACCCUGAAUCAUUGUGAUGUUAGGCAACAUGGCUAGUAAUCGCAGACACAGUCAUUGCAGAAGAAACCUUCCAUGGUGUGGUCUGUCGGGGCCUACUUUCUGUAUCGGCAUUGUUCUCAGCUGUGACGUUGAAUCUUAGGCUCACUUUCCUAUGAGAUCUGGAGGUGCAGCUUCUUCUCACCGUUCCAACUCCUCGGUCUGCAUGCUCUGCACCAACUCACCGAUCAACAAUAUUGCUGCAAUGCGUAUGGCGUACACAGUACAGAUUCUAGAUUUACAGAUCUCUUUCCUCGUGGUGGUCCUAUUAUUUAUGGCGAAGUAAGAUCUAGCUGAGCAAAGAUGUAGAUUCCAUCCGAGGCAUACAAGCAAGAUGACAACUGGGCUAAAUUAACAAAGCUCCAAUUGGCCUAAUCUUGAGAAAGGGGAACUCAGUGGAGUUUACAGAACUAUCAUGGGGUGCUUUCAAAGGCAUAGAAUAAUGGUUUCUCUCCUCUUGUCUGCUGAUCAAAGCAUAUUCUGCACUUCAAAAACUCGGGGAGAUUAAGCUACAUGACAUAAGAUAUUAUGGAUGGCAUUAAUGGCCACUAUUCUAUUGCUCUGUGACAAAAGAUAUUGUGGAAUCUUGUACCAGGCCAGGGUGAUUAAGCCAAAGUUUUGAGUGUCAGAUAUCCAAUAGCUUUCGCUGCAUAAGCUGUCUCCCUUUGCACAUCACAGCUUGCCGUGGAUUAGGAAGCCAUGUAAUUUUUUCUAUUAACUUAAUCCUGAUUAGACUUCAUCAUUAAGCUUGUCUACUGUUACAAAAACUAUAGCUUCUUCCUUUGGGUUUUAUUGUAAGUUUCUUUUGCUGCUGCCAAGCUAAUAUCUUGUGUCACCACCCCAUCUCCCACAAGGGAUGCCCUAGUUGUGGGUGUCCCAAGGUCAGUAAUGGAUGGAGGAAGACCAAGAAAGAUACUGGUACCACCAUUCAUUCAGUGUAAAAUGGAGUUGUAGGAUCUAGCUGUCCUGCAAAUAAUUGAUCAAAAGCUGUUGGAUUUGUGUUCUUUCUCACUAUGUUGUUCUAGCAAGGACUAACACUCUUGUGCAGAUUUUUCUCAUCAACAGCACUGAGAACAGAUAUGAGAUGAUUUCACUGAACGAAGGUGUUUCUGACUGCAGAGCCAAUUAACCUAUGACCAACUGUUAGGUGAUUCAACUCUCUAGCUUGAAGUCUCAAGCUUUUUAGGGCAGCAAGGUGAAUGUGAUCUCCUACAUGAAUCUUUCAACAGGUAGCAAUAAAUCUUGCAUGAUGGUAGGAGAAGUGUGGAAAUCAAGCAGGGUGAUCUUAAUGCAAGAAACACUAGCCAUGUGGUCCAUCAGCUAACCAUCAUGCAUGUCUCAAACAACAUGAGCUGUGCUGAUUGUGGUCCAGAUAGAUAGAGAAGAUGGUGAGGGGAGAUGGGAGGGGUGUGUGAUACAGUCAAGGUGUUAUUUUUGUAUUCUAGUUGGUCCAUGGGUUGGUCAAUUGUUUCAUCAGAAUAGAUUGAUGACCAACCAAAACCAACUGAGAAAGGAGACAGCAGGAUGAAACACAAUGCCUCUUCUAUUUGGUGUAGAGGCAACCAGUGCCGUGCUGAUGUGGUGGGCAAACAGGAGCCUCAGGACAAGACUGCUGCCGACCUUCGAUGCAUGCAACCCUUCUCUGCUCAAAACCAUCGAACCAGAUGGCCAUUAAUGCAUGACAAAGUGAGCCUGUGGAGCCUCCUGCUCCGAAGCCUGAACUACUUGAUUGAUCUCCAUGGUUGAUGCAGCUCGAAACCAUCACUCCCUUUUUGUUAACUUGCACUGCUGAAUUCCCAAUGACAAGGUUUAGGAUGAGCUGUGAAUCUCAGCUAGGAGUAGCAGCCAUGAUGCCCUGUCUCAGGCCAACAUGCUGUUUGUUAAUGCUCAAGACAGAUGAUGCUGCUUGAUGACAUUGAUGAUCCCCACAUGUUGAGGGUACCUAAAGAAUCUUACACCCCAGCAAUCUUAUGAGUUGACACAGAAAAAUGAAAUCUCACUAAAACAGGAUUAAUAUGUUGGGGAGAUAGAUCUCAAGAUUAAGUGUGAUAGAUAGAAGGGGAUGCAAGAUGAACCUGGUAAGUUUCUUCUUAUGAUACCCACACAUACAUACAUGCCUAAUAACUGUAAGAAGAUUGAUUCCUAUGUAUAUGUCGAUUAAGAAGAUUAGAACAUGAAGUCCAAACAAUUGAGACUUGGAGAAGUUAUGUGCUAAGCAAAAAAAAAAUAAUAUCCGACCUGCCGGAUUCGAACCAGCGACCUAAGGAUUUAACUGUAAGAUUCACCCGACUACAGUCCUCCGCUCUACCAAUUGAGCUAAGGUCGGUUUGUUGUCUAAGGGAGGAGUAGAAUAUAUUUAUUAUCUUGUAGACCUUCUUCUGGUCUCCACAAUCUCUAAUCCAUUAAUUCGUCAUUGGAUACAGAAGAAAACAACAGUAUUCGUGUAUAUAGAGACUGACAAAGGUCAGCAUACGUAGUCUUACUCACUCCUACAGACACAAAGAUUGUUUGGAUUCCUUGUGGUUCAUAGGAAGUUCCUUGGUUACCUGUCUCACGCACCAAUCGUAUAUCUGUAGGCACAGUGGUUGUAUAUGUUAAUGAAAUGCGAGCCAAUGUUGGAGUUCUCAUUCUGCUUGGAAACUGACGUCAACGCACGUUCGCCGGAGCAGCAUUGCCGUCGUACGUGUUGGUAGCGGCGCCUCCGUCGUCCACGGGCACGCUCGGGCAGCCGGCCAUCCCCUGCACCUGCUCAUGCGGCACCAUCGUCGGCAAAUCCGCCGGCCCCAUCGGGUGCUGCCAUGCAACCAAAACAGCGUCGUUUAUACUCGGGGUGGGUGGGCCGGCCGGUCGUCCGUCCGUCGAGGAGGCGUACCUGAAUCAGCGGGUAGGGCGGUGAGGGAAUGAGGGCGGACAGGAACUCCGUGGAGGUGUACCCCUGGUGCCAUGAUGUAUCGUGCUGGUUGCCGACGUGGCAUCCAGCCGCGCCGGGGUCCAGCUGCAGGCCCAUGCUCUGCGGCGCGAUCGAGUCGUAGAUCGCGUGUUCCCUGACACAUCAGCAUGCAUCCGCCGUCAAAAGUCGAUGCGUGUGUCCAUCGCUCAUGAGCGAGCAAAACCAUUGUGAGUUGUACCUGAGGUCCAUCAAAGGAUCGGACCCAACGAAGAUCUGGUGGCUGGGGUUCGACGCUCCCUCCGGGACCCACUGCACCAUCUCGUUCCCGUAUGGGUUGGGCAGUCGUUCCUGCUGCGGCUGCAGGUACAUCUGAACAAGAAUCGAAGCGUGGCACUUGCUUACAUGCAAAUAUAUCGAAGCGUGGGAAGAGAUAAAUGGGUGUGAUGUUGGGCAUGCUAUUAAUUACCUGCAUGCUUGUAGUUGAGGGAUCAUACGGGGACAGAUGAUUACUCAGCAAAUAUUCCUGCAAGCGUAAUAAAUGAGAACCAUUACUCCUCGGUAAACAUUGCUCGUGAAAGGAAACAGCAAAGGAAUGUGGACUGAACCUUUCUUGCCGUAACACGCUGCAAUGCUUCCAUGACGAACUUUUCGCAUGACUCGAGAUCAGUGAUGGAUGUGAAGCUAAGAGGAUCAGGUUCAAAAAACCUGUUCAUUCGGAAACAGCAAGGGGCCAAUUCGAUUACUCGGCAAAGGAGUGUGCCGAUCAAGAUCUUGUGAGUUGGGCAAUACCUUAAGCGUUGCUCCAUAAGCUGUAGCUGUUGUUGAUACCGACAAAUCUCCUGUUGAAGCUCCUGCAUGUAGAUAAGAGAUAGGAUUCAAUCGAGUGGAGUGGAGUGGAGUGGAGUGGAGAAAUAAAAAGAAAGAGAAUACGAGUUGUUUACCUCUGCGUUGGAGUUGACCACCCCAGGACUGAUUGAAUCGGAGAAGACAACUCUGUGUUAGAACGAACCAGCAAGAAGUGAAAGGAAAACAAGGAUUACAUAGCAUGAGAAUUACUUGACGAGGGCAGCCGUGUCGUUCUCGCACUUGAGCUUUUUCAAUGUGUUAAUCACGAACUGCAUGGAUGGCAAGUGCACAACGCGUACGUGUAUUACUCAUAUGAUAGGGAGAAGUAUGAUAAUCUAAGAGAGUUUUGAGAUGUCUAACCUCUCGAUUCUGGACCACCCUACAUGCCAAAGCAAACAAAUCAGUCUCAUGCUCAUCGAGAAUGUUAACAUGCAGGUAAGGUUUCUCGAAGAUCGAAAAGGAUUUAUGGCUUACCCUCCCCUAUCGUUCUCUGGGAGAUUCACGUAUCUAGCAAGUACGUCUUCGAUCCUGAAAGAAAGAAGGAACAAAUGUGUUCAUGAAUUGAUAUGUGUAUUUGGACGUGAUCAAAAUAGAGGACCUUCUUCGUCCGGAGAAAUGGCUGAGGCGUCCGGAGGGGGAGAACAUGAUGAGAGCGAUGUCGAUGUCGCACAGGACGGAUAGCUCGUAGGCCUUCUUGAUGAGGCCAUUUCGACGCUUGGAGAAGGUCACCUGGCGAUUGGUGUUGUUCUCUAUCCUCUUUAUCUGGAGCUUAACUCGACCCAUGAUCCAAGAUAAUCUGAGACACCAACAAAACAAGGAAUUCCCGAGAAGGCCGCACGUCUCCAAGGGUGCCGUGACAGGAAAAUAGCCCAGCAAAUCAAAAAGAAUACCAGAGAGAGAGAGAGAGAGAGAAGAGGGGGUGGCUUUGCGAGAGAUGUGGCGAGAGGACGAAGGAGAGAGAUUUUAGAUGCUGUUCUGCCGGGAAGCAUUCCUCCCCCACGACAACAACGGCUGGCUUCAAGCUGAGAACUUCUCUUUCGCUACCCGUUCGACCGCCACCCUUCUUGCACCACCACUGAUUGGAGCAGCAGUAGCCUAAACGGGUCCCAAGUCCCAAGUAAACGAAUCCAAUCAUAGUGCAGGUACGUCAGACGAGUAAUCCUUCAGUGGUACAAUAUUAUUUCCCUACAUUAACAGCUAAUAUUAUUCCUCUCUCCUCUUCCCUAAUAUAAAUAAUAAAUGGGAAUACAUUAAUUGUAAUGAAUUAUAUGUUUUAACUACGUUUAUAAGAUACAUGAUAUCAAUUUUGCCGUAAUUUCGAUCAAAUUUACGAAAGCUAUGCACUAACUUCACGCAUGUCACUUCCAUCACCAAAUCAUUCAAGAUGCUGGCUUCCAUUUCUCUCUCUCUCUCUCUCUCUCUCUCUAUAUAUAUAUAUAUAACUCGAUCUAUUCGAUUAAUCUCCCUUAUCUGCGCAAAAGAUCAUGCAACACAUGGAUUGAUUCCACGGUAUUUUCGCAAUCUAUUUCUAGCUAGACAGCAGCUGGAGAAGCUAUAAGAAGCUGCGUUGAGCUCUCUUGUUCGACUUGUUCAUAGCAAAGAUGGCGACCACAGCACGCUUUUCUGGUGCUAUUGCUGUUCUCGUCGUUCUCGGGAGCCUCUGUGGUCUUAGUCAACGUAAGUACGCAUGCUUCGGCUGUGAGCAUCUGCCACCGCGUCGUUCUCCGUUCGAUGAGCUUUCUUCCUUGUUUGCCUUUUUCUGCAGUGGUGGUAGCGGAAGAAGUUCAUCGGCUGGACGGUCAGCGCUCGGUUGUGGUCUCCGCGGACGAAGAGAAGGGGACCAAAAUAGUCAUCAUUCCAUGCGUGAAAAAGUGCCAUGAGAAUGACGAAUAUUGCUACUGUUGCAUAGCUGCCAAACACCUACAUUGUUAUCAGCAACUGGAGCAGUGUCAAGCGAACUGCGAAAGGUGCGAUCCCAAGUGUCCUCCCGCACCGCCGUCGAUGGAGACGCGUCCAUGACGAUCAUGGAGGACCGCCCUAGACUCUGUUACUCUGAGGGCCUUUGCUUUGGUCGAUUCUGCUUUGUGUUAGCAACAGUUCUGACAAUAAAAUCUAAGAGAAGAAAACUUCUUGAUGAAAAGCAGUGUUUAAUUUUGAUAACAGAUAAGAUUUCCUUAAGAAAUCUCUCUACUUUGUUAAGAGAAAUCUUCUAGUUUCAAUAGCAGAUAAGAUUUCUUCAACUAUACGAGUAAAUCUCUCUGUUGAGGAAAAUCCUCUAUUCUGUUGAGGAAAAUCCUUCCUUAUAGGAGAGGGACAUGUUAACGUAAUUACUAUAAUAAAGUUUUUUCAAUAAUUAUUCUUUAUCUUCUAUUCUUUCUAUCAAGUUUCACGUGACAUCGCCUGUUGCUUUUGAUCUCUCGAUUAAAGCGUCGAAGGCAACGUACUCAUCUUGUUCAAGGUGAACAUAUGAUCUGUAGGUCCAAUCUGCACGAUAUUGCCUCUAUGUUUCCACGUCCUUUGAUAAGCUCAAAUAGCUAUUGUGUGAACAGUGUGGUAGCUGCUCUCUCCCUCUCUCAGUCUCCUGUUAGCUUCUCCUUUCCGCCCUUAACGAUGCUUAAGGGUCUUUAAGAAUUGUGUUUGUUCUAAGAUGCUUGUUCUAAGUAGACUGGUACGUGUUCCGAGAGUACACCUGCAUCCGUUACUGUCUUCAUGUCUGCUUCGAAGACAGCAACGUACAUGAUUCUCGCGUGCAUGCAUGUGAAGACAGGUUUCAGUCGCAGAACCCAAUGAAUUCUUGGCCACCAACAAAAUGGAAAAUAUUCUAUAUAUACUCCACCCUCACUGCGAUCAAGAAAGCAAACGAAGGAGAAAAAGAUGACAAUCUAAACGGAGAACGCAGGCGGCAGAUCUGAAGCUGAAAUCAGUCACUAUGUCUGCUCUGAAACCCUAUGGAUGCGAGUGCAAGUGAUCCCCACAGCUACAUAAUGGAGCAGGCAUUCGGGUUGUCAUCGCUGAAUAGAGAGGUAAGCUGGUCCUCCGGCCUGACCACUUGGCUGGAGACUGCAAUGACCUCCAUAUUCCUGACAUACCCAGGGGGUGCCUUCUUGUCGUAGGUUGGGGCAACGUACGGGUGGGCAACCAGGUUGUAAGGAACGUAAGGCCAGAGCUCAGCCUUCUUCCCUGUGGAUUGAACCCUCUUGAUCACCUUGUGUGGCUCAACAUAGCCCGUCACCGUCACCUUGUAUUGCUUUCUGUUGAUGUCCACCGACUGCACUCCUGGCAAGAACGGUGAGAACUGCAUUAGAACAUUGGUCGCACAGACAACCAUCGGAGGAGAAGAAGAUCGAACCUCUCAUGGUGGAGAGCGCAUUUCUAACUUUCAGCUCACAGCCCUCGCAGUCCAUCCUGACCUUGAGCUCCACCGUCUGAAACUGCUUCCUCUUCUUGUGCCUGCGGCCACUUCCCAGAAAGUUGGAGAAGCAUUCCAGGGUGCCUCCCAUGGUGCUUCUUUACAGCUGCUAGUUGGAGGCAGAGAGGUACCAAGAGCUUAAAGGAAAAGCUAGAAUGGAUGGUGAUGAUAGAAAGCUUUGGGAGCUGUUGUAUAUUUGAUCGGGAAAAAUGGAAAGACAGGCUGCUGCUUUGCCUCCCGGCAAUCACAAAGAAGGUCCCUGAAAAGGACCAGACACAGGUCUUCGUCGAAACGGAAACUACACUUGACGUGAUCUCUAGGCAGCAGAGGAGAAAAGAUCGAGCUCGAUGAGUGGUGUCACCAGAAAAAUAGCCGAAGAAGAAGAAGGAGAAGAAAAGAGAGAACCUCAACAAGAUAGUUCAUACGGCUAGCUCUUGAUGUUGGUUCGUCCUCAGAGGACAAAGGAAGCUGCCAUAGAUGCCUUUCCUUGGCUGCAAGUUUGUUUCACAUCGGCCCCUCCUUAUAUAGGCACCACCCACCGAAAAGACUCCUCUCACCAACCAUAGGUUCCACUGCAACAGUGCACGCACAGUGUGUUUAUUCUUGGGUUUGUGACCCUCCGUGACAGUGGAGAUCCUCAGUCGUUUAGCUACAAGAAAGCUCUUGGAACUGUAAAAACCCUCGGAAGAAUUCAUCCAAAAGCACCCCCUCCCCAUGCCCUGCAUAGAAAACAGAAGGUAAUAGCCGUGUGGUCCUUGCCAAGGACCAUGUGGUCGCUCUGCGUCCAUGCCAUCAGCUCUCCGGAAGGUGACUGCUGCCCAACGCCUGUCGUUGUUUGUCCGAUGGCACCUUUCCCUCAGGUCUUCGAAGCAUGGAAUUUUCCAUGUCCAUACAUCAUCAUAGAAGUAGGGAGUGGAUUUGUCAGUGUAAGCUGUCGACAAGCUGCCAUGGCAGGCAACGAUGUUCUGUAAACAUAUUGAACCACAUCUCUGGUCGUGCAGAAACUUCAGGGAAACCAAGUCCUCAGGAUCAUUUGUGUAGGCAUCAUCAUGUCAUAUGUAAUUAAAUAUCUCGGUCACUGGAGAUCUCCUGCUGCAAUUCUUCUGAUGCAUUGACUGUUGCCUGUACCAUUUUGCUGUGUGCAGGUGCUUUCGCUGUGUGCUUUCAGUGUGCAGAGUUUUGACCAUACGCGAACGAGUGGAAGAUUCUCAAAGCAGAGGCCAGAAAGCUGGGCUCACGAGAAAGGUGGCAUCACCAUUAAUGGAUUAAGAAUAUAAUGUCGCCACCUUUUGCUUUGACUCGGGGCUUUCUUGAUCUCCUCACAAAAGAUUUCGGCAAGAUGCCACACGCUGCAUCUAGUUCAAUCUUUCUUUGAUGCAUGAAAGCCUUCGUCUUCAAGGAAGUUGUUCCAGCUGCGUCCAACGCCGGCCACAAGUUGUGGUUCUUCCUAAAGCUUGGAAUAUUAGAACAUGGCCUUAAACUCCUUCACUUCAUCUUCUACUAGCACUUGAAAUGCUUUCUUUCUGUCAAAUUAUCGACAGAUAGUGAGGUGAAAUGAUCUUCUUCACGACAGGAGCAUUAUAAAAGCAGCAACAGAGUCGAAAGCUCAUGGCAACUCAUUCAUAGCUGUCGAAGAACAUUGCAACUGAAUGCCUGCGGAAACCAUGGCUGCUAAGUUGACGAGAACAUGGCCUUGGACGCGGAGACACAAGGCACAAAGCUAUAAGAUGGACCUCACACCACAGGUGGUAGGCCUAUGUAUGAUCCAAUCAUUGAACGGCAAAUGCAAUCAUUGAUACUGCCAUCUCACAGCAAACUGAUUUCAUAUCUCACAAUUCAGGUAGAAAGAUUACACUAGGAAACCUGAACCAUGUAAUAAAAGAAUGAAGAGACGAAUGCCUGAUGAGACAGGAGAUUAGUGGCAUGGAUAUGACCCAUCUACAAUGAAAUAAUUUCAUACACCUCAAUAGAUCUGCAAAACUCAUGAGAUAUAGUUCUUGGUUCAUGAUAUUAUACUCAUUAGAGAUAUCUCCUCAUUCUUCUGUCCACAGGAAUUCACACUGUUCCAGUGCAUCCAUGAAACUUCUACUGACUGUUGCUGCUUGCUGCAGUACCUCUUGAUCUUUCUAUUCUCAACCUGUCUUGCUCUUUUUCUUUUCUGGAAGUUUCCUGGCUUGAUUUUAAGGAUCUCACACCUUAUAGAAGAAGAUUUGCAACCCAAAAUUUUGACUAGGGAUGGUAGCAUCAACUCAGGUUAAAUUCAUUCAGCAUCCCAAGAGCACCUAUUGUUAUGUUGCCUUUCUGAAAUGCAUAAUAGUCGGUACAUCACCAGCCAGAGAGAAGCAAAAGAUUGAUGCUAAAUGUGAACAUGCAUGUUUUUGCUAAAAGAAUUAUAUUCAAAUGGAAUGGCAUUCGGAUUACAAAAGCUUAUAUCACCGGAAUAUCAAGUCUCUGAGGAACAUCAAGAUCGCGACACUUGCAUCUCCUACUCUGAUCAUGGUUCCAGAAUAAAAACUUGUACUGUUUCAUGUACACAUUUUUCAUGAAAACAAAGCUUACUGUAGUUAGCUGGAUCCUCACACAUGAUAAACAAUUACACAAUAUACUAUAUCAAGACCUGGAGUACCGCAAGAUCUAGUUCGACUUGAUGUCGUCUCCUUGCCCCAGCUUGCAUGGAUAACCAGUCAGUGCAUCUCUGGGUAUUCAACAUCAUAGUGUUGUGCCAAAAUGAUUCCGAGAUAAUUUCUGCACAUGCACUCUAUCCUUUCAGAGAGAGCCAUCAUGUUUCUUAUGAUUGUGCAGCUUAUCGUGGCAUUCUCAGCUACACGGAAAAUCAACUUGACACUAUGCAAGAAGUUGGAGGGCUUUCUAAUUGCCACUUGACAUCUCCACAUGCGCCAAAAACUGUCGCAAGGACAUAAUCAUCUAUGUAUAAUCCCUCUUCUUGCAUUCGGUACAUAAACUUUAAAGCUUCCUGGCAAAGCCCGUUUUUAGCAUAACCAAUGACCAUCAUCUUCCAAGAAACCAGAUUCCGUUCUUGCAUGGUAUCAAAGACUCUCAAAGCAUCUGAAGUGCAGCCACACCUCAUGUACAUAUCAAUCAGUGCACUGCCCACAAACACAUUUGACAGACUGCUGGUCUUACUCACACAGGCAUGGAGCCAUUUACCAGAAGUGAUAGCUUCCAGCUUCGAACAGGCUUUUAAAGCAGAAGAAUAUGUGAAGGGGUUUGGUUCCACACCUUCCAAUAACAUAUCAUUCAAGAAUUCCAGUGCCUCUGAGCCAUGGCCAAGACUGGUGAGACCCGAGAUAAUUGCAGUCCAUGAAAUGACAUCUUUUGCUGGCAUAGCUUCUAAAACUCUUGCAGCGUAAGCAUACUCCCCGUAUUUACAAUAGAACCAAAUGAGCGUGCUCCCAAUGUGAAUGUUUCCAAUGUCGGAAUUCUUUAUUAUCUGUGCAUGAACUUCUUUUCCAAGACAUAAAGAUCCUAUGGAACCACAAGCACUAAGAAUACUAACGACGGUAAGAUUGUUAGCAAAUACACGGCGCCUCUUCAUCCUUCGAAAUAAAAGAAUGGCCUCCUCUCCGAGGCCACAACGUGAAUAACCAGAUAUUAACGAAGUCCAUGUGAUUGUGUUUCUCUUCGGCAUCAUAUCGAAGACUGUUCUAGCAUCCAACACCUCAUCACACCUUGCAUACAUGUUAACCAGAGAACUCCCAACAUACACAUCUUCUUUGAACUUUUUCUUCACUAUAGCACCAUGCAGCUGCUUCCCAAACCUCAACUCCUUCAGUUCUCCACAAGCCUUCAGGAUACUACAAACAGUGAACUCAUUUGGAGAAAAACCCAGGUGCUGCAUCUCCUGAAACAUCGACAAUGCUUCAUAUCCAUGCCCACGUUGCACGUGAGCCGUGAUCAUGGUAGUCCAAGUAACAACAUCCUUGGAGGACAUCCUAGCAAACACUCUAGAAGAACCGAGAAGAUCACCGCACUCUGCAUAAAAGUACACAAGUGCGCUGUCUACAAUCUUGUUGCUCCAAUUCCCUUUGACAACACAAGAAUGAAUCUGUCUCCCAAGUUCAAAUUCCAAUAAAUUACCACAUGACUUCAACAAGCAAACAUACGUCAAGCUAUUAGCCUCGACAUGGCUUUCGAUCAGUGCCUCGAACAGACGCAGAACUUCGUCGUCAAGGCCCAUCUUAAGACACCCACUGAUCAUGGCCGUCCAAGAAACGACAUUCCUUCUGGGCAUUCCAUCGAACAGCUUCCUGGCUGCGACCAGCUCACGGAAUCUCACGUAAGCACUAAUCAGGUUGUUAACGACGAACGUAACAGAGGCAUCGGACGACCUGACGGCGGCCGCGUGCAAGCACUUGACAGCCUUCAAGUUGGAGCACGAGAGGAGGAGGGAAGAAAGCGUUCCGUGAUCGAACCUGCGAACGACGGCGGCACCCCGCGAGCUGUCAUCUGGGUCACGGGCGGCGGAAUAAAAAGAGUCGGGGAUUGGUUCGACGUCGGCGGCAAAAGAAGGGAUUUCGGUGAGAAGACGUAACGAUUUAAGCGGCAAGCUGUGCCGGCUACUCCUCUGAGAGGUGCUGCAACUUGCUGUGCGCUUGGUGGGGAGAAGAGGGUGCGGGUGGAGGAGGAUGUGAUAAGGUUGGAACAGAGGGAUUUCUAGGGAGGGAGAUGACAGCAGCAUCGCUGGCGGGGUUUGCUCCGACACAAAUUUGGCGCUCGACGGAGGAGAGUAUUGGGAAGAGAAAAGAAGGAUACACUACAACUGAAUCAAACGAAGGCACAACAUAUAUAUAUAUAUAUAUAUAUAUAUAUAUAUAUAUAUAUAUAUAUAUGUAAAUAAGGAUUUGACAGUUUCUUUAACGGGCUUAAUCCAGUCCAGCCCAGCCCAGCCCAUCGAUCUCUCGAGAACGCGUCCACGUCUCCUUGUCUAAUCCAACUAAAACUUGUGCUGACUUUAUUUGCCAGGUCACCAAUCAGGUUCGAAUGCCACCGUCAUCGUCUCGAUCUCUCGAUACGUUUCCACCGCCAUCCUCUCCGCUGCUCGCAACUUUACCUUCUCCAUCGGCCCGCAGCCAUGUUGUCCGUGCUUGUGGAUGUCGUCUUCUUGGUGUUGCUGCUGAGACUGCUGGUUCUUCUCUUCUCCAUGCGGUUCCUGCACCUGCUGCUGCUUUACCUGCUGAUCUGCCUGGUGUCCAUGAUGGCUUCCGCCUCGUUUCCCCUGAAGUAGGCAGGACCUCCGUUUCCAGAUGCUGAUGAUUCUGCAGAGAGACAGAGAGAGAGAGAGAGAGAGAGAGUGAGUGAAGGUAGGCUGAUGAGACAUCUGCCCUCUUUGUUGUUUAAUGCUUAGCAUGCGGUCUCUGUGGCUGUUGUCAGUGGGAAACGCUCCAUUUAUGGUCGUUUAUUCUGAAUGAAUUCUCCAUACACGAUCUAUAGUCUAUCACUCGAGCUGUGGCAUAGACGAUUUGAGAUCAUCAAAGUUAUGAUCUGCUAGUGAGGCGAGGCGUAACAUCGAACACUCGACGGCAAAUGAGUUGAUGAUGUACUCGACAUCAUCAAAAUAAGCUCGAUCUCCCCAAAAGAAAUCUCCAAA